GAGUUUGAUCCUGGCUCAGAUUGAACGCUGGCGGCAGGCCUAACACAUGCAAGUCGAGCGGGGUUUUCGGACCUAGCGGCGGACGGGUGAGUAAUGCGUAGGGAGCUGCCCGAUAGAGGGGGAUACCAGUUGGAAACGACUGUUAAUACCGCAUAAUGUCUACGGACCAAAGUGUGGGACCUUCGGGCCACAUGCUAUCGGAUGCGCCUACGUGGGAUUAGCUAGUUGGUGAGGUAAUGGCUCACCAAGGCGACGAUCUCUAGCUGGUUUGAGAGGAUGAUCAGCCACACUGGAACUGAGACACGGUCCAGACUCCUACGGGAGGCAGCAGUGGGGAACAUUGGACAAUGGGCGCAAGCCUGAUCCAGCCAUGCCGCGUGUGUGAAGAAGGCCUUCGGGUUGUAAAGCACUUUCAGCGAGGAGGAAGGGAUGUAUGUUAAUAGCAUGCAUUUUGACGUUACUCGCAGAAGAAGCACCGGCUAAUCUCUGUGCCCCAGCCAACGCCGCCGGUAAUAUCACAGAGGGGUUGCCAAUGUCGGUUUAAAUCCGGAAUUUACCUGGGCGUGUAAAGCUGCGCCACCGUAAGGCCGGUUUUUUUAAGUUCAGAAUGUGAAAGGCCCCGGGCUUCAACCUGGGAAUUUGCAUUUGAAACUGGGGAACUAGAGUGUGUGAGAGGGGGGUAGAAUUCCAAGCGUAGCGGUGAAAUGCGUAGAGAUUUGGAGGAAUACCAGUGGCGAAGGCGGGCCCCCUGGGCACAACACUGACGCUCAGGUGCGAAAGCGUGGGGGAGCAAACAGGAUUAGAUACCCUGGUAGUCCAACGCCGUAAACGAUGUCUACUAGCUGUUCGUGUCCUUGUGAUGUGAGUAGCGCAGCUAACGCACUAAGUAGACCGCCUGGGGAGUACGGUCGCAAGAUUAAAACUCAAAUGAAUUGACGGGGGCCCGCACAAGCGGUGGAGCAUGUGGUUUAAUUCGACGCAACGCGAAGAACCUUACCUACUCUUUGACAUCUACGGAAGACUGCAGAGAUGCGGUUGUGCCUUUCGGGAACCGUAAGACAGGUGCUGCAAUGGCUGUCGUCAGCUCGUGUUUGUGAAAUGUUGGGUUAAGUCCCGCAACGAGCGCAACCCCUAAUUCCUAUAGUGUUGUGCCAGCGAGUUAAGUCGGGAACUCUAGGGAGACUGCCGGUGAUAAACCGGAGGAAGGUGGGGACGACGUCAAGUCAUCAUGGCCCUUACGAGUAGGGCUACACACGUGCUACAAUGGUACGUACAGAGGGAGGCAAGCUGGCGACAGUGAGCGGAUCUCUUAAAGCGUAUCGUAGUCCGGGAUCGCAGUCUGCAACUCGACUGCGUGAAAGUCGGAAUCGCUAGUAAUCGCAAAUCAGAAUGUUGCGGUGAAUACGUUYCCGGGCCUUGUACACACCCGCCCGGUCACACCAAUGGGAGUGGGUUGCAAAGAAAGGAUAGGGUAGCCUUAACCUUCCGGGAGGGGCGCUUAUAACACAUUGUGUGGAGUUCAUGACUGGGGUGAAGUCGUCACAAACUCUUCC
rnacentral:rRNA from 1 species